rfam:Ixodes scapularis strain Wikel colony gcontig_1107728993014, whole genome shotgun sequence.
GCAGUCGAGGCCGAGGGGUUAAGGCGAUGGACUAGAAAUUCAUUGGAGUCUCCCCACACAGGUUCAAAUCCGGUCGACUGCU